CAGUCGCCGCGGGAAUACAGAGGGUGCAAGCGUUAAUCGGAUUUACUGGGCGUAAAGGGCGCGUAGGUGGUUAUGUAAGUGAGAUGUGAAAUCCCCGGGCUCAACCUGGGAACUGCAUCUUAUACUGCGUAGCUGGAGUGCAGUAGAGGGUAGUGGAAUUUCCGGUGUAGCGGUGAAAUGCGUAGAUAUCGGAAGGAACACCAGUGGCGAGGGCGGCUACCUGGACUGACACUGACACUGAGGCGCGAAAGCGUGGGGAGCAAACAGGAUUAGAUACCCCUGUAGUCCCUGUCUCUUAUAA
rnacentral:rRNA from 1 species